GACGAACGCUGGCGGCGUGCUUAACACAUGCAAGUCGAACGGAAAGGCCCUGCUUGCAGGGUACUCGAGUGGCGAACGGGUGAGUAACACGUGGGUGAUCUGCCCUGCACUUCGGGAUAAGCCUGGGAAACUGGGUCUAAUACCGGAUAGGAGCCAUUCUUAGUGUGAUGGUUGGAAAGUUUUUUCGGUGUAGGAUGAGCUCGCGGCCUAUCAGCUUGUUGGUGGGGUAAUGGCCUACCAAGGCGGCGGCGGGUAGCCGGCCUGAGAGGGUGGACGGCCACAUUGGGGCUGGGAUACGGCCCAGACUCCUACGGGAGGCAGCAGGGGGGAAUAUUGCACAAUGGGCGCAAGGCUGAUGCAGCGACGCCGCGUGGGGGAUGACGGCCUUCGGGUUGUAAACUCCUUUCGCUAGGGACGAAGCUUUUUGGGACGGUACCUAGAGAAGAAGCACCGGCUAACUACGUG
rnacentral:rRNA from 1 species